rnacentral:rRNA from 1 species
GACGAACGCUGGCGGCGUGCCUAAUACAUGCAAGUCGAGCGAGACUCUUCGGAGUCUAGCGGCGGACGGGUGAGUAACACGUGGGCAACCUGCCUGUAAGACUGGGAUAACACCGGGAAACCGGUGCUAAUACCGGAUAAUCCUUUUCCUCUCAUGAGGAAAAGCUGAAAGUCGGUUUCGGCUGACACUUACAGAUGGGCCCGCGGCGCAUUAGCUAGUUGGUGAGGUAACGGCUCACCAAGGCGACGAUGCGUAGCCGACCUGAGAGGGUGAUCGGCCAAACUGGGACUAAGACACGGCCCAGACUCCUACGGGAGGCAGCAGUAGGGAAUCUUCCACAAUGGACGAAAGUCUGAUGGAGCAACGCCGCGUGAGCGAUGAAGGCCUUCGGAUCGUAAAGCUCUGUUGUUAGGGAAGAACAAGUACCGGAGUAACUGCCGGUACCUUGACGGUACCUAACCAGAAAGCCACGGCUAACUACGUGCCAGCCGCCGCCGUAA